rnacentral:rRNA from 1 species
UGGGAAGAACACCAGUGGCGAAGGCGCUCUACUGGGCCGUAACUGACGCUGAGGGACGAAAGCUAGGGGAGCGAAAGGGAUUAGAUACCCCUGUAGUCCUAGCUGUAAACGAUGGAUACUAGGUGUUGGACGUAUCGACCCGUUCAGUACCGCAGCCAACGCGAUAAGUAUCCCGCCUGGGGAGUACGCACGCAAGUGUGAAACUCAAAGGAAUUGACGGGGGCCCGCACAAGCGGUGGAGUAUGUGGUUUAAUUCGAUGCAACGCGAAGAACCUUACCAGGGCUUGACAUCCCUCGAAUCCUUUUGAAAGAGAGGAGUGCCUUCGGGAGCGAGGAGACAGGUGGUGCAUGGCUGUCGUCAGCUCGUGUCGUGAGAUGUUGGGUUAAGUCCCGCAACGAGCGCAACCCACGUCCUUAGUUGCCAUCAUUAAGUUGGGCACUCUGGGGAGACUGCCGGGGACAACUCGGAGGAAGGUGUGGAUGACGUCAAGUCAUCAUGCCCCUUACGUUCUGGGCUACACACGUACUACAAUGCUUCGGACAAAGAGCAGCCAACUAGCGAUAGUGAGCUAAUCUCAUAAACCGAGGCACAGUUCAGAUUGCAGGCUGCAACUCGCCUGCAUGAAGGAGGAAUCGCUAGUAAUCGCCGGUCAGCAUACGGCGGUGAAUACGUUCCCGGGCCUUGUACACACCGCCCGUCACACCAUGGGAGUUGGCCACGCCCGAAGUCGUUACUCUAACCGUUCGCGGAGGAGGGCGCCGAAGGUGGGGCUGAUGACUGGGGUGAAGUCGUAACAAGGUAGCCGUAGA